GACGAACGCUGGCGGCGUGCUUAACACAUGCAAGUCGUACGGUAAGGCCCUUUCGGGGGUACACGAGUGGCGAACGGGUGCGUAACACGUGAGUAACCUGCCCACAACUUUGGGAUAACGCUAGGAAACUGGUGCUAAUACUGGAUAUGUGCUCCUGCUGCAUGGUGGGGGUUGGAAAGCUCCGGCGGUUGUGGAUGGACUGGCUGCCUAUCAGCUUGCUGGUGGGGUAGUGGCCUACCAAGGCGGCGACGGGUAGCCGGCCUGAGAGGGUGACCGGCCACAUUGGGACUGAGAGACGGCACAGGCACCUACGGGAGGCAGCAGGGGGGAAGAUUGCACAAUGAGCGCAAGCCUGAUGCAGCAGCGCCGCGUGCGGGAGGACGGCCUUAGGGUUGUAAACCGCAUUCAGCAGGGACGAAGCUUUUUGUGACGGUACCUGCAGAAGAAGCACCGGCUAACUACGUG
rnacentral:rRNA from 1 species